AAACAGAAACAAGUCCGUGUUCUCAGUCAGCAACAGUAACUCAACCUGCCAGAGCGGAAAAGGUUUAUGUUGACAUAGAGUAUGAUAAGAAAUUCUACAUAACAAUCAUUGCAACAAUAGUUGGAGCUAUUUUUGUUGGCAUAUUUGUUGCACAUGCUUGUGUAACAUAUUUUACUUCGAAAAGAGCAAAGA
rnacentral:lncRNA from 1 species